AGAGUUUGAUCAUGGCUCAGAACGAACGCUGGCGGCGUGCUUAACACAUGCAAGUCGAACGAGAAAGAGUUCUUCGGAACUUGAGUAAAGUGGCGCACGGGUGAGUAACGCGUAGAUAACCUGUCCUGGUGUCUGGGAUAACCCUUCGAAAGGGGGACUAAUACCGGAUACGUUGAUUAUUCUUAAGAAUAAUCAAGAAAGGUGGCCUCUAUUUAUAAGCUAUCGCAUUUGGAGGGGUCUGCGUACCAUUAGCUAGUUGGUGGGGUAAAAGCCUACCAAGGCUACGAUGGUUAGCGGGUCUGAGAGGAUGAUCCGUCACACUGGCACUGAAACACGGGCCAGACUCCUACGGGAGGCAGCAGUGAGGAAUAUUGCGCAAUGGGGGAAACCCUGACGCAGCGACGCCGCGUGAGUGAGGAAGGCCUUAGGGUCGUAAAACUCUGUCAGAAGGGAGGAAAUGUUAAGAGGUUAAUACCCUUUUAAUUUGACGGUACCUUCAAAGGAAGCACCGGCUAACUCCGUGCCAGCAGCCGCGGUAAUACGGAGGGUGCAAGCGUUGUUCGGAAUCACUGGGCGUAAAGGGCGC
rnacentral:rRNA from 1 species